rnacentral:rRNA from 1 species
CUACGGAGGGUGCAAGCGUUACUCGGAAUCACUGGGCGUAAAGCGCGCGCAGGCGGCCAUUUAAGUUGGAUGUGAAAGCCUACGGCUCAACCGUAGAACUGCAUCCAAAACUAUUUGGCUAGAGUGUGGGAGAGGAAGAUGGAAUUAGUUGUGUAGGGGUAAAAUCCGUAGAGAUAACUAGGAAUACCAAAAGCGAAGGCAAUCUUCUGGAACACUACUGACGCUGAGGCGCGAAAGCGUGGGGAGCAAACGGGAUUAGAAACCCUAGUAGUCC